UUUUGUUAUUGAAUGUGUGAUAAGUGUGAUUGUCAUCAAUCUCCUAGGGCUCCAAAUUUUCAGCAAUGCUAUGGAUUCUCAACAAUUUAGACCAGUGAUCUUCUGUAGACUUUCCAAACCUCUGAAAUCUGAAUUCUUAUUUGUCAUCCUUAGAGAUAGUAUUAAUUCAUUAAGUUCAGCAUGAAUAUUAUGGAACGAACACCAUCAUAAGAUAGAAUAUUAACUAUAUAAAGUAUGCCUUGUUGUCUCCCCCAUCCCCCUUCUCUUGAACUCACUCUGCUUUCUCACUCAAAAGCAUCAUUUGAGUUUUUAUAUUUGAAAGGGUAUUCUGGUUUUGCAUUUAUCUUUUUUAGUCCAGACAUGUGAUGGUUGAUAGCUCCUAUGUACCUCUUCAAACUGCUUAUUGAUUCAUUACACCUGUAAAUAUACAUUGUAGAAGUAAUUUCAUCAUCUUGACUCCAUGUUCAGUAUAUUAGGAAACAUUUACAUUGUGUGAUGUUUGAAUUGUGCUUCAUCUUUCACAUUUCUGGACCAAUUCUACAAUGUCACUGGUGCAUGAGGACUACUUUCCUACUAUGCCUGUAGAAGUUUUUUUUUAAUCAUCAUGGCUCAAUAUUGAUUAUAUUAGGAAAUGGUUACAUCAAUGACGGCUUUAAAAUGUUCUAUUUUUUACAUUUUUGGUCUUAUUUUUAUGAUGUCACUUGCAUAUGAGGACCACUUUCCUGUAGUGAGCUAUUGACAAUCAAUUGAACUUAGCAUGUGAUGAAUUUCUUUCAUUAAAAAUUGAGAAAAACUAUUAGCUACUUUAGCUUUUGCUUCGUGAUUCUUGAUGUGCAUGAAACAUGUAGCAAUGUGAGGUGUGGUUCAAGGUAGUAGUCCUUACAUUUCCUCUGCUUUUUCCAUGCCCCCCCAGCCCAGUAGAAAAAUCUGUUAUGGUAUUUUUCUAUCUCAUGAAGUCAGAAUGUUAUGAUUAUGAUGUCAUAUUCCUCUUUACUUUAUUAGGUGUUUUUCCCUCUCUUGUUUAGGAUGCCCCUUCUAUGAAGAGAGGAAUCUUGGUAUAUUAUUGUCUCUUAUUCUUCACAGUUCUGUGUGGAUUUUAGGCAUACAGAUAUUUCUCUCAAUCUUGAUGAAUCUAUUGCUUCCUAGCCAAUAAUUAAUCAUGAAUCAUAACUUGAAGAAAGUUAAUAUGAUUUCGCUGGUGAUAAUAAAGGUGUUGCAAAGGAAGAAGAAUGCAUAGGAUGAAUGACUUGUGAAUAAAUAUCAUAUUAUUAUUUGGGUAUAAUUGUUUGAUCGACUGUGGUCCUCUGCCAUUCAACUUCCUUUACCCAUUUUCUUUUCAUGAAAGGUCUUGCUGAUAACCUUCCGAACUGCUAAUGCCCAGUCUGGUCACAAAAUCAUAUGAGAAACAAUAUGCAAAUGCUAAGGUGCUGUAAGCUGGUUGACAUAUGUUAUUGUGGAAGAACCACAGAUGGUUAAAUAGUUAUGAAAAUAAUAGUUAUACUAAUCGGGUUGUGCUUUUUGAUAACAAGACCAAGGAUGAAAGCAAGAGGGUUGAAUAGGUUCAGAAGCUUCUCUCGCUUGUAAACAUGGUAAUAGCACAAAAUGGUGGACAACCAUGUACAGAUGAGAUAUUUUCUGAACAAAAGAAGGAGGCCAUGAAACUCCGCAAUCAAUAGGAACAUGUUGAUUCUCUGAAAGGUUACUCUGAACGAGAAAUAUUAAAGGAUAAUAUCUUUCAUAUGAGGAGCAGCUCAAACAAAUUACUGAGAUGGUCAAGACAAAGCUUAGAGAGACAACUACUAGUCUUGAGCAACAAUUGGCAGAAGAGCAAGCUACACGUCUGAGGGCUGAAGAGCUAGCACAUUUAACUCAAAUGAUGAAAUUCGUAAGCUCAGAGAACAUCUAGAGAAAGUGGAGGAGAAACUCCAUAAGAGAAGUGAGAAUCGGUGUGCCAUUCUAUGAGGUAAAGAUUAUAAAGACAAUGUGUUGUGGAGUUCAGAUCAUCAAGAAUAUAUUUUUUCC